UUUAAUAAUCUGGAUUUAAUAACCUGGUUUUAAUAAUCUGGAUUUAAUAAUCUAGAUUUAACAACCUGCAUUUAAUAAUCUGGAUUUAAUAACCUGGAUUUAAUAAUCUAGAUUUAAUCAUCUAGAUUUAACAACCUGCAUUUAAUAACCUGGAUUUAAUAAUCUAGAUUUAAUAAUCUGCAUUUAAUAAUCUAGAUUUAAGACCCUGGAUUUAAUAACCUGGAUUUAAUAAUCUAGAUUAAGACCCUGGAUUUAAUAAUCUAGAUUCAUAAUCUGGAUUUAAUUAAUCUGGUUUUAAUAAUCUAGAUUUAAUAACCUGGAUUUAAAUCAUCUGGAUUUAAUGAUCUGGAUUUAAUAAUCUAAAUUUAAUAACCUGGAUUUAAUCAUCUGGAUUUAACAAUACAGAUUUAAUAACCUGGAUUUAAUCAUCUGGAUUUAACAACCGGCCUUUAAUAAUCUGGAUUUAACAACCUGCCUUUAAUAAUCUAGAUUUAAAUCGUGACCUUUUUACAUAUGAUCUAUUUAAACCCAGCAGAGAAUCUACCGUAACAAAAACAAGGUAUGAAUUCAUUUCUAUUCUGAAAAAUAGACUGUAUUCACUUCAAAAUAUGAAAUACGUAUUUAGACAGAUGAACAUGAGCGUCUGCAUAAAGAUGGAAGAUUUACAGCUUGAGUAAAUGUCUAGUCAUGUGACCUGAACUCUGAUCAUGCUGUAAGACUAAGCGCGCUCGUUCGUGAAGCUUUAUGACACGUGCGUUAAUAACCGAGUCGUCCAAUCCUCCAUCAUGUGUUUACACUUCACUGCUUUAACGCUCACACGAUUACGAUCCCAGCUUCAUUCCCAACAGCUUUAUUCACUGCAUACUGAUAAGCGACUGAGAGACAGCUGUGCGUGUGUGUGUGUGUGUGUGCGCGCGCGUGUGUGCACGUCCGUGUCAGCUUGUAUGUCGUGCGCACUUUCAUGAAGAGUUGCUUUUAGCAGGUACCUGAACAGUGGCAGUAAUGGAUCAAAACGCAGCACCUGCUAAAAAUGAACACACACACACGUACAUGCACAGAGCACCUCCAUUGAGAUUCAUGAAAUGAGAUGAGUGUGUGGAAAUGUUUAUUUCAGCUUGAGUUAAUAAAAUUGAUUCAUCACGGAGUCACCGGUGCAGCAAAGAACAAAAACAACCAAGAAGCAUGGAUAUACACAGUCAUGAAAGACAGACAUGAGGAGUCAUGUGUGUGUGUGCGUGUGUGUAAAACAGAGCUAGGACGGUGUUCAGCACCAUGGAGAGCGUCUCAGUGAGACCCCACACUGCUGCUCAGUUUACGGUUCCUAGCUCAUCAGCUCAUCACCGUGUCCUUCCUAAACGGGGUCAGCUCACGUGUGCACCAGGUGCGGUGUGUCAGGUGUGUGCUGUGUAUUGCUCUGCGUCCAAGAUGACAGCGUGUGGCGUAUUAAUAUGUACUCGACGACCAGACGAAAGACGCAUUAAAAGGUGCGGUCAGUGAUCUGGCUGGACGUGAGCUAAAGCGAGUGGAUAGAAAGUCAAAAUCUGAACAAAUACAGCCUCUUUCCUCGCUGUUCUAUCCAAAACAACGCCCCCAAAAACACUCUCGGGCCACAUGAUUGACAGAAACUACAGAUACUCCUUGUCCUGAUUGGUUGGAUAUUAAUGGGCAGAUCAUGUGGGGGGCUUUUCUCCAGAAUUCUGACUCACAAAACCCUGAUCUUAGCUUAAAGCAUUCAUUAAUAUGAAACUUUCGUCUGUGAUACAUAUGAUUUAAUGCUGGGCAUGCGGAGUAGAGUGUUAAAAAAAAAAAAAAAAAAGUUUCAGAAGUCCUUCACUGAGACUGACAGACAGAUGCCACACCUUCAUUGAGACUGACACACAGAGGCCACGCCUCCUUCACCGAGACUGACACACAGAGGCCACGCCUCCUUCACUGAGACUGACGCACAGAGGCCACGCCUCCUUCACUCCUAGGCAUAUGAAAUUAUUCAAUUUACUGAUUAUUUUUAAUGGAGUGAGAAAAUGAAGUGUGUUAUUGUGCUGGAACUAAAAUGGGCUUAGUCUCAAACUAGAUAAAUUAGCAAAUGAGGCUUUUGGCAGGUGUGUGUGUGUGUGUGUGUGUCUGUGCGCUCGAAAACAUAAAAAACUGCAUUACGGCCUGUUCGAAACAUGUCAGAUUUUCCGUUUAAAGGGUUUGUUUCUGGACGGUUAAGAGUUCUAGCCUUCAGGAAACGGGGGAAUGAAAAGAACCCCUUCUUUUAUGGGUUCUCUGAGAGGGACAAACCAAAAGAACCCUUCAGACUAGCUAACUAACUUUAUUCAUUUCCAAGCGCGUGCAGGCAGAAAAGCUCCUGAACAGACAUAUAAACUAAGCUUAAGUGGAUAGUGUGGCGACAGGGUAUGGUGGUGGUACGUUACCCGCUGCUCUUCCGUGGCAAUGGCAGAUCCUUCUGCAAGAGAACAGGAAGAAAGAGAGAGAAACCAGAGAUAGUGAGAUUAAAAUGGAUCAUUCACAAAAAAUAACGCUCCACUAUCUGUUCAAUCACAGGCUGCUUAUAAAGCUGAAGUGCUCGGUGUAAUGUAAGAGGGAUAUUCAUUAGGAGCGAGAUGUUGGACAGCACUUAGGGGAGCGCAAUCCCCAAAACAUUACACCAAGGUCAUACAGGAUAGGCCGAGAGAUCGAGAGAGACGGAACGAGAUAAAUGUGUGUGCUAUUAAAGAGCCCAUGCUAAUGCCCCCUGCUGGUGUAGUAAGGACUCGCGCUGGGGGAUGAUGACCUCACCUGCCGUGGCUCGCUUUGAUGACAUUGUGCGUGACACGAGUUUUCCUGCCAGCUUGUCUGGCGCCACCGGGCAGCUAAUGGAGGAUUAAAUGGGCAAAUGUCCUGUGUGUGUGUGUGUGUGUGUGUGUGUGUGCCAAAAUCUUGCGUAAAGUCUUCAUAAUUAGACAAACUCUUCAGCUCAGAGACGUGUUCUCCUCUCUGCCACGAAAUCUGUUACUCCGGUCAAUCCUGAAAGCUCAUGUUCAAGAGAGAGUGAGACAAAUAAAAGGAAAAGGACGUUUCGGUGUGAUGUUACAGGUAAAUAAUCGACAACAGGGUUGUGUGAGGGUUGUGUGACCACCCAGAAGUUGAUUCAUUUUCUCAUAGCAGAACGUCCUGAAGUGUUUUAUUCCUCGUGCACCUCAGCAACAUGACAACGCUUACAAUUCUUGUUAAAAUAAUGAACAUCUCAUACGGCGGAUAUAAAAAAAACAAAACUUUUUUUUAAGUGCGGUUUGGAAGUCGGAUAUAUCGAGGCAGCAGCACUAAAUCAUAUAAUCAAAAUAAUUCUAUUAAAAAGCGUGUCACACUACACUGGUUCUCA
ensembl:lncRNA